CAGCCGCCGCGGGAAAACGAAGGGUGCAAGCGUUACUCGGAAUUACUGGGCGUAAAGCGUGCGUAGGUGGUGGUUUAAGUCCGUUGUGAAAGCCCUGGGCUCAACCUGGGAAUUGCAGUGGAUACUGGGUCACUAGAGUGUGGUAGAGGAUAGUGGAAUUUCCGGUGUAGCAGUGAAAUGCGUAGAGAUCGGAAGGAACAUCUGUGGCGAAGGCGACUAUCUGGGCCAACACUGACACUGAGGCACGAAAGCGUGGGGAGCAAACGGGAUUAGAUACCCCCGUAGUCCCUGUCUCUUAUAC
rnacentral:rRNA from 1 species